rnacentral:rRNA from 1 species
AUUGAACGCUGGCGGCAUGCUUUACACAUGCAAGUCGAACGGUAACAGGUCUUCGGAUGCUGACGAGUGGCGAACGGGUGAGUAAUGCAUCGGAACGUGCCCAGUCGUGGGGGAUAACGCAGCGAAAGCUGUGCUAAUACCGCAUACGAUCUAUGGAUGAAAGCGGGGGACCGUAAGGCCUCGCGCAAUUAGAGCGGCCGAUACCUGAUUAGCUAGUUGGUGAGGUAAAGGCUCACCAAGGCAACGAUCAGUAGCUGGUCUGAGAGGACGAUCAGCCACACUGGGACUGAGACAUGAUCAAACUCGUGUGUAG